UUCCGGUCGUGCCCCCUGAACGCUUGUGAUGACCUCACACAGAUGGAGUAGGAUACUGCUUUUCAAAUGUGCAUGAAAAACAAACAUUCGACAACACAAGGAGAGACUGACAUGGCGGGGAUAGAGGAAGAUGUGUUCGAUCUGCCAGCCGGGGAGGAUGACAAUGACUCGGACAGAGAUGAAGAUGAGAGACUGUUUGCUUGGAUGGUCAAUGACGAUAUGGAUGAGGAGGAGGAAGAGCAGGAGGAAGAAGAGGUCGAGGAUGAAGAGCUCUUGGACUUCGAAUCAUCCGAGUUGUUUGAGUUGGACACCCCAGCUGAGCGCAGUGGUCAUAUAGCAGUGAUUGACAGAAACAUCAUGUAUGUUUGGGGUGGAUAUAAGAAUGCGCAAAACCAUGGAUUCUUUGACUUGUAUCUGCCGAGAAAUGAGAUCUGGAUGUACAACAUGGAGUCUGCAGUAUGGACGAAGCAUGUGGCGGGAGGCAACCUGCACACCUCCAUGUCCGGCAGCUGUGGGCUGUGUGUUGAUGGAGUUCUCUACUUAUUUGGAGGUCAUCACGCCAGAGGAAACACUAACCGGAUCUAUCGUCUGCCCCUUCGAGCUACCGGCCUUGUUUGGGAGGAAAUGAAGGAUCUGAAAGGACUUCCUCCAUCCUGCAAGGAUAAGCUUGGGUGCUGGGUUCAGAAAAACAGACUGAUAUUCUUUGGAGGCUAUGGCUAUACUGCACAAGGAACUCAUCAAGGGACCUUUGAAUAUGAUGAGUCGUCUUCACUUGUGUGGGACAACCCAGGACGAGGCUGGAACAACCACAUCCACGUCCUGGACCUGGAGACCUCCACCUGGAGCCAGCCCACCACCAGGGGGAACACCCCGUCACCCAGAGCAGCUCAUGCUUGCGCCACCGUUGGGAACAGAGGCUACGUGUUUGGGGGACGGUACAAGAACUACAGACUAAAUGACUUGUACUACAUUGACCUCGACACAUGGGAGUGGCAUGAAAUGAGCGUUCCCCAGCAGGGUCCUGCGGGCCGGUCUUGGCACUCCUUCACUCCUGUGUCACCAGACCACAUCUUCUUAUUUGGAGGUUUCACCACAGACAGAGACACACUCAGUGACGCUUGGCUGUACUAUGUCAGCAAAAAUGAAUGGAAGCCUUUUAAACACAGUCAUCCAGAGAGCCCGAGACUGUGGCACACGGCGUGCUCUGGUCCUGAUGGAGAGGUGUUUGUGUUUGGAGGCUGUGCCAACAACCUGUUGUCUCAUCACAGAGCUGCUCACAGCAACGAGUUACUGGUUUUCAACGUUCAGCCCAAAUCACUAGUUCGUUUCUGUAUGGAAGCCGUCUCGCAGCACAGGGAGCGGUUGUCCAGUUACUGGGACUGCUUGCCUAAACACCUGCUGCACAGCCUCAAGCAGAGGAUGGCCCGGGGCAACACCCUGGGCUCCUAGGCGCAGAGGACCAGAGGAGUCGAGGAGAAUGUGGAUGUAUGGAUGAUGUGGCUUUUACUCUCACAGCAGGUAGUCCUGUUGAAGCAUUAGUUUAAUGUGUGUGGACCCCUAAAAAGCAAUCGUGAACCGCUGUGGGAAACGGGUCCUGGCCGGCUCUCUGCAGUUCAGUCGAUCCUCAAAGCGGUUUCUUUUUCUUUUUAUUAACUUACGGGUGUCAAACUCUUGCAAAGCAAGUAUAACCUUUCAUGGAGUGGCACUGAGUUGGUUUAUGUUCUGAUUUCCUUGCUAAAAUACUUUUUUAGCAGGACUUCUUUCAUUACUCCCAAAAAGUUUAAAUGCAUGUUUUUUACUUCUGGUUCUAAGAUAAGUGGAUUGCUACUUCUGUACUGGAGACAGAAACCUGAUUGGAGGAACUGCAGCUACAGGGUGCUUCGGCGUUUAAGGUUUCAGAAAGUCGUUUAAAGGUCCAGCGUGGAGCAUUUAGAGAUCUCUUGACAGGAAUGGAAUAUAAUAUUAAGCAUAUUUAAUUUGGUGUGUAAUCUACUUAAAUGAAUGGUGUCUUUGUUCCCUUAAAACGAACCAUGUAUAUCUAGAUAUGGGUGCUGUUCAUGGAGCGGGCUGCCGUGUUUCUACAGGAGCCCAGAUUGGACAAACCAAACACUGGAUUACCACGGGUCUCCGGCAUGCUCGGCAUUCCUACGGUUCAGUUGGUUGUAAUCUGCAACCUCACCGCUUGAGCCGGACAGAUUCUACACACUGGACCUUUUAAUGCCCUCAACACCAUAUUUCCAUCUUUGUUUCAAACAAGGCAAUAACCAGUGCAGUAGUAUACGGAUGGGAACCUCGCUCUCAUGAUCGGCUUUUCAUGGAGGCCACUGGAGGAAACCCUGAGGACAUGUGGGGAACACGACUUCCCUUCCCAAGUGUGAAGCGCAUCCUGAGAUUAACAAGCUGAAGAAUCUCCGGACCAGGAAGUGAGAAGUGACCACAGCCAAACUAACACAUCUCAAGCGUCAGCCUUUACUUGGACUUGGAAAGACUGUCGACGUUUAUGAUGAUCGUUGUAACUUUUCUUUUCUAAGGUGCAAUAUGUAGAACCUGCCUUCCUCUGUUUGACACCAUUUUACUCUCUUGAAACCGUGUGAAGGAGGGAAACAUGGACCCGGUUCCCGACAGCACGACUUGUUUUAUACUUUAACACGUUUUGACUUGUCAACGUUUGUCUCUCGGCUACAUUCUGGUCUAACUUCUGAAACUAUCUUUAAUAUCACAGCCCUUAUGUACCGGUGUCACAGCGGCACACGGACCAGAGCUCACAUCCGAGCGUUGGCAUAAAGACGAGGCUUCGUUGGAGAGGUUUGGUAUAUUUUGUACAAAUCUAGUACUAUGUAUUAUUUUUGUUAAAUAUUCUCUGAUUGCAUUAUAGCACAACCAAUAUUUUGUUUGACAUACAACAUAAAAUGUAAGAAGAAUCUGGCAUUAUAGCUUUGGAGAUUUAUACAUGACUGUAAAAUGUUUUUUUAAGCAUAUCUUUUUCUGAAUGAGGAGGGACACUCCCAGAGGAACUGUGUAAACCCUGUGGAGCAGACUGGCAUGCUUUUUUUGGAAGUAGCAGUGCUGUUCUAACUCCAGACAUUGUGUCUCUUCAAGUUCAUUACAAAGACAAUGCUUUAACAAGCACCAACUUAUGUGUGUCACAACUUUAAGGCUAAAUAUUAGUCAUUGUGAAAAUAAAUUAUCUUAGUCUUUGGUGGCUCCUAAUGUCAUGAAUGUAUCAUAGGCAGUAUUGGCCGACUUAUUUGGUUUCUCAACUCUCACUUAUACCUUUUUGUCUUUUAUAUUCAGGAAUUAAACUUCUCAGCAAUGCAGAAACAUGAAAGUCUAAUUCCAACUUUGGACAAGGACAAUAAGUUCAUGACUAAUAGCCUAAACAUCCAUUCAUAACCUCUUCACCUACUGUUGUACAAAUGUUUACACUCGAUGUCCACUGUACUUUACCGUGCUGUUCAAAUUAUCGGCGAGUUGGGAUAUUUAAAGUCCUUCAAAACAGAAAAUAACUUGAGAGAAAGGUCUGGUUGAAAGCUGUGGUCAUUCAUUGUGUGUACCUCUUGACUAAUCGGUGUCAGCCUUAAAAAUAAAAACAUGAAAUAUA